GGAGGUUUUCUAAGAAAAAAUGUUUCUUGUGGGUUGGACUGUAUUUCUACAUAUGCGGUUUAGAAAGUGUAAAGCAUCUAUCUUAAAGAUGGAUGCAAAAAGGUGCUCUAUCUAAAAAUAAUGGAGACUGAUGGUCCAAAUGUUCUCUUAUUAGAAUUAAUAUUUUUUGUUUUAAAAAUUUAUUUAUUCUUUCAUAUUCAUGAUCUUCGUAUUAGAGGUUAGGUGUCCUUAAAAAUUAAG
rnacentral:lncRNA from 1 species